UGAGUCAGCUGCUGUUGUGCCUGGUCCAUGGUGUCAGGUGCCCAAGCCAGGCUUGCACAGGCUGCUCCUAACUCUGCCAGAGUGAGUUCAGCUGAAAUAUCAUGGUCCUGAAGAACACAUGGCCAGCCUUCCCCAGAAGGUAUCUUCCACAUCAAAAUUUAGUCUACAACAGGAGAUUCGGGGCAAAGGAGGACAAUGGAGGAAAUGACUUAUCCUUCGUUCCUAACACCAGGCACAGGCUGUCCUGCAGGGAGGAAUGCAAAUUUUAUGGGGCCAGGGGAAAAAGAGGCAAAAUUGCUUUGCAGCAGGCUUGUGUGCUGGGAUGCAAGACUCCUGCUCCUGUCAUCAUGUGUGCGCUGUUAACUGAAAAGUCACAGGGUAAAACAUGCACAUAGUCCCUGGAGAGUUCUUUGUCAGUCCUGAUGGUGCCAGCUGACUCACCAGGGAGCUGAAAUGUCAUCAUUUGAGUUACUCCAUCAACUGCUGCUGGAAAGGGAAUUUCCAAAGCAUCCAGGAUCCCAAGAGCAGCGUGCUAGGAAUAAAUAGCACAAAGACAAGUCAUUCCAUGGCAAAUACCGCUCAGUAGGAAGCAGGAAAGCUGAAACACACACAGCUAAGAUCAAGCAUGGUUUCUGCAUGUGGAGGAGCUACCAAUGGUGCAAUUUAACAGGAUUCAGCCUCCAAAAGCUGUAAAUAUGUUUGGGGUGAAAGAAGUUGUGAAUGAAACCCAGAUGAGGGAAUGCAUAGUUAAGAACUGAUUUGAGUGAUUUUGCCAAUUAUGACCGUCUUUGGUUCUCCUUCAGCAACAUGAUCUCCACAGCUGAACCUGGCAAGCAAAGCUAUGUGCUCCCUUGAUCUUUUUGUCUCUCACUCUGGAUCUGAAAUCAAACAAUGAAAACAGUUUUACCUUAAAAAGCCACCGAACAAUAAAAAAUAAAAAUAGAACUAAUAAUGUGUUAAUUGUAUCCCUUGUGUAAAAACAGUAAAAAUCAUAA